rnacentral:sRNA from 1 species
CAAAAAGGCAGCCAGCAUACAACAACCCUUCCUUCGACAAUGGGGCACGGGACACGGGACACACAGGCAACAUGUGCCACAAAAAUGGUUGAUCGUACCCGAAAAUUCUGUGGUCUGUGGUCUAUGCCUUUCCCAAAGGCCUACCAAAAGGAAUGAUCUUUAGUUCCUUCGUGGGAUUUUGUUUGAUGACUUCCAAAGGCUCAAAUAUUUAGCCAAAAAAAAGCUUCGAUAAGUGAAAGCCAUUAAUUGAGAAAUGGCGUAAAUGGUGUUCGUACUGCCAGUUCCCAUUCAAAUACCGCCUGAAACUGUAUGCCCAUGUUAGUGCCUUCUUCGGUCUGAGCGGGAAACCAACAACAAACCAACAACAAACUGGAAGAAAAACAAUCGAAUAUCCCAAAAAAUAGUGUGCAAAAGUAUGUUGAAGACCGCGAGAGAUUGACUCGAGUGAAUCGGCGAGAACGGAAGCGGCACCCAAAAAAAGCCCCAGGUGAGUCCACCAGGAUACAUCCCAAAGAAGGGAAUUUU